UUUCCAGGAAGGUGUGGUUAAGUGUAAGUGGUGAAAGAAGGGAAACCAUUGCUUAAUGUCGCAAAGGAGACAGACUGUCCUAUGUUGUGCAGAAAGCUCCCACACCAGGUGAAAUGCACAUCUGAACAGAGACAGGCAUGGGAAGGAGGCCCAAAAGCGACAUGGCAAACCACCGGGCAGGGGACUCGCUCUUUGCUGCUUCCCAAACACUUAGACGCCAGCAGCAUGGGUUGGUGUGCUGGGCUGGUUAAGGCCGAUGGUGGAGCAGAGCCAACCUGCAAAAUCCACUUCCUCAGCAUCAGAUCUCUUGAUAAAAGCAUGAACCUGCAUGUAAGGAAACGAGAGAACGUGGUGUUAAAAAGAAACAAAAAACAAAACAAAACCCACCAGGAAGGAAAAUCCAAGAGUUUCAGGUCUAGAGCUUGUGCUGCACUUGGAAAGAGCACCUGGCACCUGCCCCUGAGCAACAGUGGGGCCAGCUGCAGGCCCAAAGACCUGCUCCACCAGUCACAGCAGCUGUGAGGCCUUGGGCAAGUCACCUCUUGGAGCCUACUCUUGCAGUAUGGAGACAGUAACUCUGCCUUAAAUGCCUCACAGGCUUGUUAGAAGGGACAAAGAAAAUGAUGGACUUAGUGCAUAUUAUACUAUAUACACCGUCUAUGGCUGUCCAGAUAUUUACAGUAUUACUUAGCUAUUUCCACUGCCACCAAACGAGACAGCAGGCGGAGAGUGACUCUGGAAGGAGGCUGAAUGUAAGGUGAGGCAGUCAGUAUUAGGGAAAGGCGGCAUCCCCAUGAAGGGGGUGGGCUGGCCUUUUCUUUCCCGUGGCCCCCUCAGGCCUUUCCUCUGGCAUAUGCUUACUCAGGCUGUGGGGGUCACCCCAGCUUUCCCUUAAACUGAUGGGAGAGCAAAGGAGACUGGUGUUUGGUAUUCUGCAGCCCCAGGCUCAGCUGGACCACAGUGGGCAGGGAAUGAAUGGGCUCUGGAAGUACUGCACAGAUGACUGACAGAGAAGAAGAACAAAUGAAUAAACAGGUACUGUAAGAAUCCGGAAUAAAUAGACUCACCAUGAGUUGCUUCAAAUCUGCUCUCUCUGCGGGGUUUUUUAUUAAGCUUAAAGGAAGAAAGACAAGGUAAGAGCUAUUGCCUGGCACUGGUUCUAGCUCAAAUAACAUGUUUGCAUGCCUGUCUUCUCUGCACACUAGAGGCUGAGGAUUGCCUGGGCUUGAUUCAUCCUCCUGUUCUAAGCACAGUAUCAUGCCCACAGUAAGUUAAUACAUUCUUGCUGAGUUAAACUAAGGUCAAAAAGCAACGUGCCAAUCCCUGGAGAGCAAGUACCAAAAGGAGCAGCUACUACAUCCAUGAUGUAGUUAGACAUGCCACAUAAGUCUUGGCACUCUAAAAAAGGGCUUAUGGCAGCAGCCAAGAAUCAUCAGACGGGAGGGUAAAGGGCAAAACUCUGCCUGCAGAAGCAAUGCCGGUGCUUCCAGAAAUGGGGUGGGGAGCCUGACAAAUCCAGAGUAUACGCUUCCAGAGAACAAGGAGCCAACUUACCAUUUAUUCACAAAAUCUUGAAAUUCCAGACUGAACACUCCACUGGGCAGUUUUGGAGGAGGCUGCAAACACAUGUUGAGAUAAGAAAAAUGCCUGGCUCCUUGCUCCAGCCAUCUCCUCUCCCCAUCCCACCCCUACCACCAGCCAGUGCUACUUUUUUUUAAAGUCUUCUCUGCAGUCCAAAGGCAGUACUACUCUCAUUCAGUCAAGGAAAGGCACAGGUAGAAGGCCAGUGCUGCCUGUUGGGUAACCAUGUUGGAACCACUGAUCUCAAAUAGCACAUUUAGAAUUGGGACCAAGUCAAGUCCACUCACUUGUCGGGUGAUUUUGAACUAAUCACUAUUCCUCUAUGAACCUCAGUUUACUCUUCUAUGACAUGAAGAGGUUGGGCCUAAUGAUCUCAGGGACCCUUUCAAGCUCUGACACUCUACAAUGGUAAAUCUUGGAGUGCGGCAUGGGAACGUAACCAGCAAUUUACUGGCAGCAACAGCUAGGGGCACGUGCAAACCACCAGGCAUAGCCCAGGUCUGACAGCACCUGCAGAAGCAAACUGGUUUUUAAAAAUCCCUUUUCUGAGCCCUAGAGAGGCAGUGAAAAGUUAAUAAAACGUUAACUGACA
rnacentral:antisense_RNA from 1 species